UGGCGACGGGUGAGUAACGCGUCGGGGAACCUGCCCUGUACAGGGGGAGUAACACUUAGAAAUAGGUGCUAAUACCGCAUAAGCGCACAGUAUCGCAUGAUACAGUGUGAAAAACUCCGGUGGUACAGGAUGGACCCGCGUCUGAUUAGCUGGUUGGCGGGGUAACGGCCCACCAAGGCGACGAUCAGUAGCCGGCCUGAGAGGGUGAACGGCCACAUUGGGACUGAGACACGGCCCAAACUCCUACGGGAGGCAGCAG
rnacentral:rRNA from 1 species